rnacentral:rRNA from 1 species
GGCAGGCCUAACACAUGCAAGUCGAACGGUAACAGGAAGCAUCUUGCUGCUUUGCUGACGAGUGGCGGACGGGUGAGUAAUGUCUGGGAAACUGCCUGAUGGAGGGGGAUAACUACUGGAAACGGUAGCUAAUACCGCAUAACGUCGCAAGACCAAAGAGGGGGACCUUAGGGCCUCUUGCCAUCGGAUGUGCCCAGAUGGGAUUAGCUAGUAGGUGGGGUAACGGCUCACCUAGGCGACGAUCCCUAGCUGGUCUGAGAGGAUGACCAGCCACACUGGAACUGGGACACGGUCCAGACUCCUACGGGAGGCAGCAGUGGGGAAUAUUGCACAAUGGGCGCAAGCCUGAUGCAGCCAUGCCGCGUGUAUGAAGAAGGCCUUCGGGUUGUAAAGUACUUUCAGCGGGGAGGAAGGGAGUAAAGUUAAUACCUUUGCUCAUUGACGUUACCCGCAGAAGAAGCACCGGCUAACUCCGUGCCAGCAGCCGCGGUAAUACGGAGGGUGCAAGCGUUAAUCGGAAUUACUGGACGUAAAGCGCACGCAGGCGGUUUGUUAAGUCAGAUGUGAAAUCCCCGGGCUCAACCUGGGAACUGCAUCUGAUACUGGCAAGCUUGAGUCUCGUAGAGGGGGGUAGAAUUCCAGGUGUAGCGGUGAAAUGCGUAGAGAUCUGGAGGAAUACCGGUGGCGAAGGCGGCCCCCUGGACGAAGACUGACGCUCAGGUGCGAAAGCGUGGGGAGCAAACAGGAUUAGAUACCCUGGUAGUCCACGCCGUAAACGAUGUCGACUUGGAGGUUGUGCCCUUGAGGCGUGGCUUCCGGAGCUAACGCGUUAAGUCGACCGCCUGGGGAGUACGGCCGCAAGGUUAAAACUCAAAUGAAUUGACGGGGGCCCGCACAAGCGGUGGAGCAUGUGGUUUAAUUCGAUGCAACGCGAAGAACCUUACCUGGUCUUGACAUCCACGGAAGUUUUCAGAGAUGAGAAUGUGCCUUCGGGAACCGUGAGACAGGUGCUGCAUGGCUGUCGUCAGCUCGUGUUGUGAAAUGUUGGGUUAAGUCCCGCAACGAGCGCAACCCUUAUCCUUUGUUGCCAGCGGUCCGGCCGGGAACUCAAAGGAGACUGCCAGUGAUAAACUGGAGGAAGGUGGAGAUGACGUCAAGUCAUCAUGGCCCUUACGACCAGGGCUACACACGUGCUACAAUGGCGCAUACAAAGAGAAGCGACCUCGCGAGAGCAAGCGGACCUCAUAAAGUGCGUCGUAGUCCGGAUUGGAGUCUGCAACUCGACUCCAUGAAGUCGGAAUCGCUAGUAAUCGUGGAUCAGAAUGCCACGGUGAAUACGUUCCCGGGCCUUGUACACACCGCCCGUCACACCAUGGGAGUGGGUUGCAAAAGAAGUAGGUAGCUUAACCUUCGGGAGGGCGCUUACCACUUUGUGAUUCAUGACUGG